UGGAAUCUGAUUUUAAAGAAUGGCCCAGCAGAUGAAGGUGUUUUUUUAAAUUGUUAGUCAUGUGAAACGAACUGAGUAUUGAUCAGUAAUACAGACAGGGCAGCUGUGAGAGAGUUUGAUGCUAAUCUUUGCAGAACUCAAGAACAUACUCCAUAAAGUACAGCUGAAAAGAUCACGAAAACCUUGGAGCCUUCGAGGAAAGAGAAGGGUGACUUGGGGACACAAUCACAGGAAGGGCAUAUGGAUCCGAGCAUCCAGGGUGGUUACUGGGGUGAUCAGACAAAUAAGCAUUGAUGCCUGGAAGGCAGAAAUCACACUGCGACAUCAAAUGUUUCAUCAAGCAAACAGCAAGGAUCUCUUCAGGCUGUGUUCUCUAGACCCGAAAAUGUCCUCUGUGGUUUGGCUGACAAAUGGAAUCUCUUUAGAAAACAUGCAAAAGGGUAUCUCAGCUAUCCAUGAACGAUUCGGUCUAGGACAAAGAACUAACAGUUCCUUCCAAAAUAGAGGUCUGUUGGUCUGUUUGACGUCAUCCCAUCAUCCUAUCUCUCCCUGUCCUUGUCUGCAGUAGAAGUUAAUGUAAUCAUACCAGAUGUUUAAUGUGAACAAGUAAUUUCCAAAUGUAGAAACACCACUGAUGCACUUAGGGGGAAAAACAGUGGCAGGGUGUUAGAGCAUCUCAUCAGAGGUGAAAAUCACCCACUUGGAAACCUACUGUGCACCCGUUGUGAGUUCUAAGAGUGUAUCAGAAAGCUGAUUUUACCAUCUGUUGUGAAAGAUUAUCUGCAAUGAGGGCUGCUAGAAAGUCAGCCUGCUGAUCUCACAAGUAUAUGACUUCUUAUUCCACUUCAAAAGUGGGGAACUUGACAAGUUUCUUGUCUGCCUUUUGAUGUUGAUUCUAUAGAUUAAUUAGUUCAGGAACAAGUCUUUCAUAUACAUUAGACUGGUAUCAUUGAGUUCUGAGCUAUUCUGUUGUUCUUUAACUGACACUCUGGAUUGCCAGUGUCGGCUGCUACAUUCUGAUACAGUAAGUCAAAGGAAUCUAGUGGCCAAGAGUUGUAGUUUAGAAACAACCCAUCUGAAUACUGCUUUUACCACUUUGAUACCUGAAAAGAUCAUCCCCCUUUCUAAAACCUGAAAACAACAUAUAGAGAAAUACUGUAGAAACCAUUGCUAGUGUCUUAACUAGGAAAAGCAAGUAGACUCAUCAACAAUCCUUUCAAAACAAGACCUAGAGAUAAACAGUUUUUUCCAGUGUCAAUUUUCAUAGACAUUUUUAAAAAAUUAAACACAUCUUGUCACCCAGUGCUAGCAAAAAUUGUAAAGAGCAAAACCAAAGUUUUUGAUGUUAGUCUUAUUUUUGUAAGCAGGGUAUACUAUAGUCGUGGCCCAUAUGGAACACACAGGCAGCCGGUUUUCUGCUACCUGAGCCUUGGAGAAGAUGAGAAGGAAGGGCUGCCUGCUGUGCUGCCCUUUGAAAAGGUCCAAAGCAGACAGGAGCGCACACAGCAGAAGUCACCUUCUCCUUCUGAUGACCACCUUUCAAAAGGCUUAACAGAAUCACCAAGUGUCACAGUCAGCUCUUGGCCAGUGGAAAAUUGUCUGGGCCUGUAUAUGUUGGAGGAACUCAGAUAGAAAAGGACUUGUAAACAGCAUGGAAACCUCAACAUCUGCUGUCUCAAGCACUUAAAAAAGGCUACAAUUCAGGUGUUACUGGAUGACUUAACUGCAUGGACAUUUAGGGGCUGACUUGUGUUGUGAUUAUUCCAAUUGUGGGCUUUGGAGAAGCAGAGGGAUGAUUUUCAGUUGUGUGGGUGUUAAGUCUAUGGAUUGGGAAUUUACCACUGAAAUUGAUCGUUCAAAGUGUGACUUCAUAGUAGGGCCAGCUCCUCCUAAGUUGUCCUUUUGUUUUUCACAUAAAAUACAUCUGGUACUUUUUACUUGGAAAGUUGUACUAUGUCCAUGAAAAUGGUUAAAUGAGAAGGCCAUAAAGAUUCAUUUAAUAGCUGAAAAGCAACUUUUAAAAUAGAAUAGGACGAAUUUAACAUGGAAUGAUGUGACCUUCUAGGGAACUUUUUAUAGAGAGCUUACAUAGUGUAAUUGGGGAGAAUUUUGUCUUCUAUUUCCAUUCAACAGUAGCAAACUGGUGGUUUUAUAAAAUUAACAUUAUAGUAUGUUAUAUAAAUAAACGUUAUAUAAAAUGACAUUAAAGUAUAACUGUGAAAAAUUAAAGACUUGGCGUUAUCCACAACCUUUAUGUGCAAUAAGGAAAACUGCAGUAGGCCCCCAAAGUGCCGUCUUUCCCUAGCAUUUUACUCAAUGUUUGCCUUUGUGUAUGUUUAGAUUGCUAUUGUAAAGCUAGCCAUGUGUGUUCCUGCCCUUUACUGAUAUUUAACACAUUUUCUCAAAGCUUUUCUUUUUUUAAAAAAACAAAACUCAAAAUAAAACAACUAACUGGCUGAGCUAAUUUUGUUUUGUAUUUUAAAGUAAAGUAUCAUCUGUUGGUAGAAGGCUGUAGUGUGAUACUAUUCUUAGUCUGUUUCCCUCACUGAGAGGUUCUUUUCUGGGUGUAAGCUAUUCCUCUCCAGCUUUCUUUAGGCCUGGGGUUGGCAAACUACAGCUGGC
rnacentral:lncRNA from 1 species